AGGAUGAACGCUAGCGGUGUGCCUAAUGCAUGCAAGUCGAACGGGAACCUUUAGAUUCGUCUGAAGGGGAGAGUGGCGAACGGGUGAGUAACGCGUUGGUGACCUGCCCCAGAGAGGGGGACAACCAUUGGAAACGAUGGCUAAUACCCCAGAUGUCAUUGUGUUUAGAAAGCAAUGACUAAAGCUCCGGCGCUCUGGGAGGGGCCUGCGUCCCAUCAGCUAGUUGGUAAGGUAAUGGCUUACCAAGGCUAAGACGGGUAGGGGACGUGAGAGCGUGACCCCCCACACUGGUACUGAAACACGGACCAGAUACCUACGGGUAGCAGCAGCAAGGAAUAUUGCCCAAUGGACGAAAGUCUGAGGCAGCAACACCGCGUGGAGGACGAAGGCCUUCGGGUCGUAAACUCCUUUUCUGGGGGAAGAGAAAGGACGGUACCCCAGGAAUAAGGCCCGGCUAACUACGUGCCAGCAGCCGCGGUAAAACGUAGGGGUCAAGCGUUAUCCGGAUUUACUGGGCGUAAAGAGCAUGUAGGCGGUUGCUUAAGUCGGACGUGAAAGCUCCUGGCUCAACUAGGAGAGGCCGUUCGAAACUGAGUAACUCGAGGAUGGUAGAGGAGAGUGGAAUUCCCGGUGUAGUGGUGAAAUGCGUAGAUAUCGGGAGGAACACCAGUGGCGAAGGCGGCUCUCUGGGCCAUUCCUGACGCUGAGAUGCGAAAGCUAGGGGAGAGAACGGGAUUAGAAACCCCGGUAUUCCUAGCCGUAAACGAUGUCAACUAGGUGUAGGAGGUAUUGACCCCUUCUGUGCUGCAGCAAACGCGUUAAGUUGACCGCCUGGGGACUACGGCCGCAAGGCUAAACUCAAAGGAAUUGACGGGGACCCGCACAAGCAGCGGAGCGUGUGGUUUAAUUCGAGGCUAC
rnacentral:rRNA from 1 species